GGUUUGGAAGGGGAGAUUUGGGGUGUGCAAAGGGAGCAUAAUAAUUUGUCUUUUAAUUAAAGUCUGGUAUGAAUGAUUGGAUGAGAAAAUUACUUUCUUUAUAAUUUUAUUUUAACUUAAUCUUUAAGUGAAAAAGCUUAAAUUAAUUUAUGGGACGAUAAGACCCUAUAGAGCUUUAUAUUUUCUUUAUAUAUAUAUAUAUAUAUAAUUUAUAAUUAUAUUUAUAUUGAAAAUAUUUAAUUGGGGUGAUUAAUAAAUAAAAUUAACUUUAUUUUAUAGUUAUCAUUAAUUAAUGAAAUAUUGAUCCAAUAAUAUUGAUUAAAAGAUAAAGUUACCUUAGGGAUAACAGCGUUAUUUAUUUGGAGAGUUCAAAUCGAUAAAUAAGUUUGCGACCUCGAUGUUGGAUUAAGAUAAGUUUAGGGGGUAGAUUUUCUAAAUUCUAGGUC
rnacentral:rRNA from 1 species